GGGAUAACCUCGGGAAACUGGGGAUAAUACCCGAUAGGUCUGAGAUGAUGGAAGUCCCUCAGGCCCAAACCCUGCGGGGCUCGAGGAUGGGUCUGCGGCCUAUCAGGUAGUAGGGGGUUUCACGGACCCCCUAGCCAUAGACGGGUACGGGCUUUGGGAGAAGUCGCCCGGAGAUGGAUUCUGAGACACGAAUCCAGGUCCUACGGGACGCAGCAGGCGCGAAACCUCCACAAUGUGGGCAACCACGAUGCGGGAACUCCAAGUGCUUACACUAUGUGUAAGCUGUUCUGGAUCCUAAAAAGCUCCAGAAGUAAGGGCCGGGUAAGACGGGUGCCAGCCGCCGCGGUAAUACCCGCGGCCCGAGUGGUGCUCAUUAUUAUUGAGCCUAAAGCGUCCGUAGCUGGCCGGGCAAAUCUCCGGGGAAAUCGGGCCGCUCAACGGUCCGAAGGCCGGAGACACUGCUCGGCUUGGGAUCGGGAGAGGGUGAAGGUACUCUCGGGGUAGGGGUAAAAUCCUGUAAUCCGGAGGGGACCACCAGUGGCGAAGGCGUUCACCUAGAACGAGUCCGACAGUGAGGGACGAAGCCCUAGGGCGCAAACGGGAUUAGAUACCCCGGUAGUCUAGGGUGUAAACGCUGCAGACUUGGUGUUGGGGGUCCUGCGUGGGCUCCCAGUGCCGGAGCGAAGGUGUUGAGUCUGCCGCUUGGGGAGUACGGUCGCAAGACUGAAACUUAAAGGAAUUGGCGGGAGAGCACCGCAACGGGAGGAGCGUGCGGUUCAAUUGGAUUCAACGCCGGAAAACUCACCGGGGGCGACGGAGGGAUGAAAGCCAGGCUGAAGACCUUGCCCGAUUCUCCGAGAGGUGGUGCAUGGCCGUCGUCAGUUCGUACCGUAAGGCGUUCUGUUAAGUCAGAUAACGAACGAGACCCUCGCCCUCAGUCGCGACCUCACGAGCGAUCGUGAGAGCACACUGGGGGGAUCGCUGCUGCUAAAGCUGAGGAAGGAGAGGUCUACGGUAGGUCCGUAUGCCCCGAAUCUCCCGGGCAACACGCGCGCUACAAAGGUGGGGACAAUGGGAACCGACCUCGAAAGGGGAAGGCAAUCCUGAAACCCCAUCGUAGUCUGGAUCGUGGGCUGUAACUCGC
rnacentral:rRNA from 1 species